CGGUGAUGCAUUUAUUAACACGAUUGCAGAUACUGCAUGUGUUGCAGUUGAUGUAUGAGUAUACUUUCCUGAAGAAGAGGUAGCUGAUUUGUGUAGUUCACACAACAUAAGCAGCAGUUGUCUAAUCCCUUGGAUAAAACCAUAUCAACUACAUGAAGAUCUGGUCAGUUUUUGUCCUUGUAUAUAUGUUUUCCCCUCUUUCAUCUAUAAAUAUAUUUAUGUUUUUUAAAAUUUAGCUGGAGUAAGAUGAUCAAUUGCUCCCAGUUCCCAUGCAUUCAACACUUCCAUAAUCAGCACCUUCUUUCAUAUAUAGAUUAUUUCUAUUAAAUCUAUUCCAUUCCAUUCAGUACUAGGCAUAUGCAUUACAUUAGGCCCACACAGGAGAAACAUGUCAUAUAUUAAGUCAUAGAGUUCUGCCUUCAGAUUUGGCAAGAAAAAGAUAUUUAGAGUGGCUUCAGGUAAUCUUAUGCAAGCGGGCUAUAAUAUUGUUAUUAAUUUCACUUGGAAAGGGUCCUCUAUCUGUCCAUUGAAAUUCACAGUGCAUGUGUUCAGUUCAGUUUUUAUCUCUUUUCUGGAAAGAAUACCACAUAUCUCUACUUCAGAGAGUGCAGGCUUUGGCAGUUAUCUUUAAGAUGGGACCUGCCAUAGCCAUAGCCUUGAUCUCCUCUCUUCAAAUGGAUGGUGGAUGAGGUCUGUUUAAUUUGCUUGUCUUAGAUUGUGGUUUUACUUAUGUUCCUUUUGUUAUACAGUUCUGGUGAAAUUUUUUAUCUCUAGCUGCAUCAUACAUUUCGAUCUUUCCAAAUCUAUAGAUUGUGAUUUUAUCAAAAGGUGCUUGUGCUCCAGUGAAACCACUAGCCAUUUUGCUGGUACAGUGAUAUUAGGGCCAUACAUGAAUUAGGGUUUUGUUUUUUUUGAUAAACUUUGGUGAUGAGGUUCAGAUAUCUUCAUGUUACUGUAUUGAAGCUGCAAUCAUUUCUAAAUUUUCGGAUCUCAAUUCUUUUUCUGACGAUAGCAGUUUGGACUGUAUACAUGUCAUUUUGCUGGUUUCUUUUGCUUUAAGGGAAUCAGGGCAGGACAGAAGGAACACUGUGACCAUGUCCCCCAUGUACGCAUCAAGCUCCCAAGUGAUAAUCUGAAUGCCUGCUCAGAUCCUAGGCGCCGGCGGAAUCAACCUUGACCCAUCAAUGAUGGUCAUCCCCCAUUGACGAUCACAUGGUCCAUAGAGACCAUGGUGUCUGAUUUUUGACGGUUUAAGCUUUGUCUACACUUUUUCUUUCUCAGCAUUUGCUUCUGAUGGUUUAUACUUUAGAGUUGGGUAUUGGAUGUUCAUUCUCUAGAUGAAUUGGUCAUGUACUUGAAAUUUUGCACAUUUGGUACUGAAUCUGCACUCGAAGUGGGUUUCCUAAUUUGGUUAGGUACAUUGUAUAAGCUAGAUUCGCAUUUUGUACAAUUGAUUAAAGAAUAUGGUUUGUCU
rnacentral:sRNA from 1 species